rnacentral:rRNA from 1 species
GGGAUUAUUGGGGCGUAAAGGGCUCGCAGGCGGUUUCUUAAGUCUGAUGUGAAAGCCCCCGGCUCAACCGGGGAGGGUCAUUGGAAACUGGGAAACUUGAGUGCAGAAGAGGAGAGUGGAAUUCCACGUGUAGCGGUGAAAUGCGUAGAGAUGUGGAGGAACACCAGUGGCGAAGGCGACUCUCUGGUCUGUAACUGACGCUGAGGAGCGAAAGCGUGGGGAGCGAACAGGAUUAGAUACCCUGGUAGUCCACGCCGUAAACGAUGAGUGCUAAGUGUUAGGGGGUUUCCGCCCCUUAGUGCUGCAGCUAACGCAUUAAGCACUCCGCCUGGGGAGUACGGUCGCAAGACUGAAACUCAAAGGAAUUGACGGGGGCCCGCACAAGCGGUGGAGCAUGUGGUUUAAUUCGAAGCAACGCGAAGAACCUUACCAGGUCUUGACAUCCUCUGACAACCCUAGAGAUAGGGCUUUCCCUUCGGGGACAGAGUGACAGGUGGUGCAUGGUUGUCGUCAGCUCGUGUCGUGAGAUGUUGGGUUAAGUCCCGCAACGAGCGCAACCCUUGAUCUUAGUUGCCAGCAUUCAGUUGGGCACUCUAAGGUGACUGCCGGUGACAAACCGGAGGAAGGUGGGGAUGACGUCAAAUCAUCAUGCCCCUUAUGACCUGGGCUACACACGUGCUACAAUGG